rnacentral:rRNA from 1 species
AACGUAGGGGACAAGCGUUAUCCGGAUUUACUGGGCGUAAAGCGCCCGUAGGCGGCCUGACAAGUUGGACGUGAAAGCUCCUGGCUUAACUGGGAGAGGCCGUUCAAAACUGUCAAGCUAGAGUCUGGAAGAGGAGAGCGGAAUUCCCGGUGUAGUGGUGGAAUGCGUAGAGAUCGGGAGGAACACCAGUGGCGAAAGCGGCUCACUGGCCCGGUACUGACGCUGAGGUGCGAAAGCGUGGGGAGCAAACAGG